CCUUCCCCCCACCCAACUUCCUGUCACUCUCUUUCAGUUGGUCUUAACAGCUCUUCUCAGAUGGUAGAGAGACGUGUGUGCUUAGAAGUGGAAGAAGAGAGGCCGAAGUAGGCGUUGCAGCCAGUUUAAAUACAAUUUGUGUUCUCGCCCACGUGGGGACCCAGAGACAUUGAAGUUCAUUGGCCGGACAAAAGUCAAGAUAACUGACAGUGGCCAGAGAUGCAGUGUAUCGAUGAUCUGGGUUGUCCUGGAAGUUUGAUCAAGAUUUGAGUGCUCUGAAGUGCCUGUUGCAGCCAGCUUCAUGGCCA